rnacentral:piRNA from 1 species
UAGACUUCCUUAACGCUAGGG